rnacentral:rRNA from 1 species
UACGUAGGGUGCGAGCGUUGUCCGGAAUUAUUGGGCGUAAAGAGCUCGUAGGCGGUGUGUCACGUCGGCCGUGAAAACCUGGGGCUUAACUCUGGGCGUGCGGUCGAUACGGGCAUCACUAGAGUUCGGCAGGGGAGACUGGAAUUCCUGGUGUAGCGGUGAAAUGCGCAGAUAUCAGGAGGAACACCGAUGGCGAAGGCAGGUCUCUGGGCUGACACUGACGCUCAUGCACGAAAGCGUGGGGAGCAAACAGG